CAUUAAGAGUGAGAACGUGUGAACUGUGACGUCACACAACAUUCGAGUUGUAUUAUAUUUGUUGGGAUUGCCGGCGAGGGGUCAGUGUUGUGCCAUCCGCGGGACUGACAACAUGGCGAAGCUACUCUUUGUACUCGGUCUUGUGACCAUAGCCAUGGGAACGCCGUAUGACUAUGGCGGUUUCGACUCAUUCGGCCCACCUACCUACACAAAAACACAACUGGGUGAGAGCAUAGACAAGUCCACCUUGAAACUGCUGAAGGUGGCUUACGAUGUAGCUGAAAACAAGAACGUGAUAUCGUCGCCCCUCAGUCUUAUGGUUUUGCUGGCUCUAUUUAAUACUGGCGCUGGACCUGAAGCCAGGGAGGAGAUCACCCGGUUCCUGGGAGGCUCAGACUUCAAACAGACCUCGGACUCAUACAGGGACUUGAGCGUUCGGUUCUCGGAGUUGAACCCUGAGGCUCUGACAGUCGCCAACAAGGUGUGCGUGUCCGACAAGCUGAGCCUGCAAGACACCUUCACCGCCGCUGCCCGGUCUUACCGCAGUGAGGUCGACACCAUCGACUUCGGAAACGCCCAGGCCGCUUCUGACACCAUCAACCAAUGGGCUGACCAGAAGACCCAGGGUAACAUCAAGAAGCCCACCAGCCCGGACAUGUUCGGUGACGACGUCGUCGCUGCGCUUUUCAAUGUCAUCUACUUCAAGGGUCACUGGCACGUACCUUUCAAAGCUUCAGAGACGACAGACAAAGACUUCCACCUCACCAAAGAAUCAAAAGUUCAGAAACCGACGAUGCACCUUCUGCAAUCUCUGUAUUAUACUGAGAGCCCUGAACUCGGUGCUCGGAUGGUGGAGCUGCCCUACAAAGAAAGGGGCUUCCGUAUGGUUGUUGUGCUCCCGAACGAAGUAGACGGUUUACCAUCAGUUCUCGAAAAGGCUGCGGAGAAGGGUCUUCUCAAUGAUGUGUUCAACCUGAGCCCAGCUGGAGCCGACGUAGACCUGGACAUCCCCAAGUUUGACAUCAAGAGCAAACUGGACUUCAAUGACAUCCUGCCCAAGCUCGGAGUGUCAAAACUGUUCACCGAGGGUGCCGGAGGCAUUGUCAAGGAUCAAUCUGUGGUAGUAUCGAAAGCUUUCCAAGAAGCUUUCAUCAAGGUCGACGAGGAAGGCGCCACCGCUGGUGCUUUCACAGGAAUGUUGAUGGCGUUGUCUGCUAGAUUUCCGGAACCAAAACCAAUCCAGUUUACAGUAGACCGUCCAUUUUUAUACGCGAUUCUCUAUGAAGACAAAAUUCUGUUUGCUGGAACAUACACAAACUAAUGCCACAAUUCAGUUUUAAGAGUACGUAGUAGUUACGGUCUGAACAAAAUGGGAGUCGCAUUGGGCUUUUGCUUAACAAAAUCCCUCAUUUCAUUCAAUACAUUUUCAUGGACUAUCUGCGUCUGGCUGUCCUACGGACUAUAAACACGUCCAAAAUCUUAAACAGAAAAGUAUAUUUUCCUGUGUUAAUUAUUUAUAUCUCGUGUACAUAGGUGCGUAUUUCCAAAUGUGUACAUACAUGUGCAGCAAUCGAUAAUUUUGGGAUUGUUAAUAUAAUUCACAGGAACGUCUUUCGUGUUAGUCUCAUAUUUAGAUUAACUCUCCCAAUAAUCCUGUCUUUUCCGUAUCGUUGUCUCUGGUUUCAACCAGACAAGGAGAGCAGCCUGAGAAGAUGUUCGAGUCAGAAUCUUAGCACUAUCAUAAUCCAGAGGACUACAGUAAUAUUUUUUCAUUGAUUCACAGGACUUCUCGUCUCCUUCACAUCGUCAAUCUCUUCAGUACCAAAACCCAUAAAGUUUACAGUUGAUCGUCCCUUUUUAUACGGGAUUCUCUACGAAGAUAAACUUCUAUUUGCUGGCACAUAUACCAAUUAAUUAGAAAAACAGUAUUAAAACAAUGACUCAUAGCAGGUUCAAUCACUUCAGUAGCACAACCGACAUUUCCAAUUAUAUUUUCUGUUGAUCGACCAUUUUUAUAUGCCAUCCUUUACGAAGACAAAAUAUUGUUUGCGGGCACUUACACCCAAUAACGACACCGUUUUAAUGUUCCGUUGGCCUAGUCGCUGUUCCCAUGUCUUCAUUCUCAAGACCACCAGAACCAAUUAAAUUCCACGUAGACCAUCCGUUCUUAUACCUCAUACUUUUUGAAGACAAAGUUAUUUUUGCUGGCACUUAUGUCAAGUAAAAUUGUAAGAUACUCAAAUUAUUAUAAAAGUUGCCAAUAUUUCCUAUUUGUUAUGUCUGCCGAUGAACAAUAAAUAUUUUUUUUAAAUAUUA